UGGGGAAUUUUGCGCAAUGGGGGAAACCCUGACGCAGCAACGCCGCGUGAGUGAUGAAGGCCUUCGGGUCGUAAAGCUCUGUCAGAGGGGAAGAAAUGCAGGGGUGCUAAUAUCAUCUUUGCUUGACGGUACCCUCAAAGGAAGCACCGGCUAACUCCGUGCCAGCAGCCGCGGUAAUACGGAGGGUGCGAGCGUUGUUCGGAAUUAUUGGGCGUAAAGCGCGUGUAGGCGGUUUGGUAAGUCUGAUGUGAAAGCCCCGGGCUCAACCUGUGAAGUGCAUUGGAAACUGUCAGACUUGAAUACGGGAGAGGGUAGUGGAAUUCCUAGUGUAGGAGUGAAAUCCGUAGAUAUUAGGAGGAACACCGGUGGCGAAGGGGGCUACCUGGACCGAUAUUGACGCUGAGACGCGAAAGCGUGGGGAGCAAACAGG
rnacentral:rRNA from 1 species